GCAGAUUAUGAAGCAUGCCAUGAAAUAUCAAGCUAUAACUUCCCGAAUUUUCAAUGACAUUCAAACUUUUAAUUUUAAUUUGAGUAAACGCUGUGAAAAUUAAAGCAAAUUUUCAUAUAGCAUGGUGAUGGGUAUAUGCUCAUCAGAUUUUGACGCGUCCGUUUCGGACAGAGCGAGUUCCACAAGAAUCGUUGCAAACAAUGCUCGUGCACGUCGAUUCGCACGAUUCAGGAGCCGAGACAGUAUCGAUGAUGAUAAUGUUGAAACCACAGCGUCGGAAUCAUCAAGAACAAGAACUUUUGAAUAUUCAAAUUUUAGCGGAGGAGAAAGGCCAAAAGUGCGAAACAGAAAUCGUCACUUCAAUCGAUACCACCCAUUUGGAUCUGUUCGACAAAAUCACCAAAAUACACCGGCCCACUUAAUCCUUAGGAAGCCGUUUCAGCGAUUAGUUCGCGAAAUAGCUCAACCAAUGGGAGCGGAAUUCCGUUUCCAGAGUAAAGCUAUGAGAGGAUUGCAUGAAACUACUGAAACAUUUUUGAUUCAAUUAUUCGAAGAUACAAAUUUGUGUGCUCUACACGCAAACCGUUCGACUGUUAAGCCUGAUGAUCUUACGCUAGCCUUGCACAUACGAGAAGAACAACGCUAUUUGAGAGCAUCGGAACCUGAUGAGGAUGAGUGUUGAAACUUUUCUAAGAAUCAUGGUAGUGAAGAAAUAUGAUACUGUGAUGAGUUGUAGACAGAUCAGUAGUAAUUGAAAAAUUGAAAAAUAAAUUAUUGAAAUAUA